rnacentral:rRNA from 1 species
GACGAAGGGGGCUAGCGUUGUUCGGAAUUACUGGGCGUAAAGCGCGCGUAGGCGGCCCGGUAAGUCCGCUGUAAAAGUCAAAGGCUCAACCUUUGAAUGUCAGUGGAUACUGCCGGGCUAGAGUCCGGAAGAGGCGAGUGGAACUCCUGGUGUAGCGGUGGAAUGCGCAGAUAUCAGGAAGAACACCGACGGCGAAGGCAGCUCGCUGGGACGGUACUGACGCUGAGGCGCGAAAGCGUGGGGAGCGAACAGG